GGGGGCGUAAUGGGUUCGACGGGGGCAGUUGAGGUACAAGGAGCAUGCCGAGGUCUGUCGCCUCGUAAAACAGGCAGAAAACCAAUAAGUGCCGACGAUUAUUCUUACGCACUGGCUGCCUAAGAGCGGCCACGUCCUGCGCGGGCCUGCCCAUUGACCUGCGUACGGGCGUCAAAUGAGAAUGGGCAAACCUGGCGGUCAGAGCCCCUCGGGCCGGCAGGGAACCAAAGGGGGGUCGGGACGUGCAGAGCCUGUCUGUGGGCCGGGCGCGUCUGGGUUUGAAUACACAG
rnacentral:tmRNA from 1 species